rnacentral:lncRNA from 1 species
CGGAGCUCCAAGUAGCGUUUCGGGAAGUGGUGAGCUGGGCGCCGCGGGACGCGGAAAUGAUCGAGCCCUGGCGGCCCAGCCUGGGCGAGCUGCUGGCCAGGCCCGAGGCUCUGACGCUGGGCAAUCUCUGCAUGCUCGCAGCUGUAGCUGCCCUGGCAUCUGCGAUGGCGACCAUGCUGGUGUGGAUGUUCUUUCGAUGGUACCUCAGUGGCAACUAACAAAGCUAUCUCUUCCUUAUCCUAUUUCAUCCUAAAAUAAAGAAUAUAUUUCGGAUACUGGAUUCAUUCAUCUUUG